rnacentral:rRNA from 1 species
CAAUAGCGUAUAUUAAAGUUGUUGCAGUUAAAAGCUCGUAGUUGGAUUUCAGUCUUAGUUCGUCUGGCCCGCUCCCUUGAGGAGCCGAGUGCCGGUUGCGAGCUGGACUUCCUUCUAGCAUGGAACCUCUACCGUUAUGCGGCCGGGGGGACAUCUGGAUCAUUUACUUUGAAGAAAUUAGAGUGUUCAAAGCAAGCUUACGCUGUGAAUAUAUUAGCAUGGAAUAAUAACAUAGGACUCGGGUUCUAUUUUGUUGGUUUCUAGGACUCAAGUAAUGAUUGAUAGGGACAGUUGGGGUGGCUGCUAUUAUAUGCCAGAGGUGAAUUACACGGAUUCAUAUAAGAGCAACUUAUGCGAAAGCAUUCACCAAGGAUGUCUUCUUUAAUCAAGAACGAAAGUUGGGGAGUCGAAGAUGAUUAGAUACC